UACGUAGGUGGCAAGCGUUGUCCGGAUUUAUUGGGUUUAAAGGGUGCGUAGGCGGCUUUGUAAGUCAGUGGUGAAAUAUGGCAGCUCAACUGUCAGGGUGCCAUUGAUACUGCGGAGCUUGAGUACAGAUGAGGUAGGCGGAAUUGACGGUGUAGCGGUGAAAUGCUUAGAUAUCGUCAAGAACACCGAUAGCGAAGGCAGCUUACUGGCCCGUAACUGACGCUGAGGCACGAAAGCGUGGGGAGCAAACAGG
rnacentral:rRNA from 1 species